GACGUAGGGCGCGAGCGUUGUCCGGAUUUAUUGGGCGUAAAGAGCUCGUAGGCGGCUUGUUGCGUCGGCUGUGAAAACCCGCAGCUCAACUGUGGGCUUGCAGCUGAUACGGGCGGGCUGGAGUUCGGUAGGGGAGACUGGAAUUCCUGGUGUAGCGGUGAAAUGCGCAGAUAUCAGGAGGAACACCGGUGGCGAAGGCGGGUCUCUGGGCCGAUACUGACGCUGAGGAGCGAAAGCGUGGGGAGCGAACAGG
rnacentral:rRNA from 1 species